AGUCGUACGCUUCUUUUUCACCGGAGCUUGCUCCACCGGAAAAAGAAGAGUGGCGAACGGGUGAGUAACACGUGGGUAACCUGCCCAUCAGAAGGGGAUAACACUUGGAAACAGGUGCUAAUACCGUAUAACAAUCGAAACCGCAUGGUUUUGAUUUGAAAGGCGCUUUCGGGUGUCGCUGAUGGAUGGACCCGCGGUGCAUUAGCUAGUUGGUGAGGUAACGGCUCACCAAGGCCACGAUGCAUAGCCGACCUGAGAGGGUGAUCGGCCACAUUGGGACUGAGACACGGCCCAAACUCCUACGGGAGGCAGCAGUAGGGAAUCUUCGGCAAUGGACGAAAGUCUGACCGAGCAACGCCGCGUGAGUGAAGAAGGUUUUCGGAUCGUAAAACUCUGUUGUUAGAGAAGAACAAGGAUGAGAGUAACUGUUCAUCCCUUGACGGUAUCUAACCAGAAAGCCACGGCUAACUACGUGCCAGCAGCCGCGGUAAUACGUAGGUGGCAAGCGUUGUCCGGAUUUAUUGGGCGUAAAGCGAGCGCAGGCGGUUUCUUAAGUCUGAUGUGAAAGCCCCCGGCUCAACCGGGGAGGGUCAUUGGAAACUGGGAGACUUGAGUGCAGAAGAGGAGAGUGGAAUUCCAUGUGUAGCGGUGAAAUGCGUAGAUAUAUGGAGGAACACCAGUGGCGAAGGCGGCUCUCUGGUCUGUAACUGACGCUGAGGCUCGAAAGCGUGGGGAGCAAACAGGAUUAGAUACCCUGGUAGUCCACGCCGUAAACGAUGAGUGCUAAGUGUUGGAGGGUUUCCGCCCUUCAGUGCUGCAGCUAACGCAUUAAGCACUCCGCCUGGGGAGUACGACCGCAAGGUUGAAACUCAAAGGAAUUGACGGGGGCCCGCACAAGCGGUGGAGCAUGUGGUUUAAUUCGAAGCAACGCGAAGAACCUUACCAGGUCUUGACAUCCUUUGACCACUCUAGAGAUAGAGCUUCCCCUUCGGGGGCAAAGUGACAGGUGGUGCAUGGUUGUCGUCAGCUCGUGUCGUGAGAUGUUGGGUUAAGUCCCGCAACGAGCGCAACCCUUAUUGUUAGUUGCCAUCAUUUAGUUGGGCACUCUAGCAAGACUGCCGGUGACAAACCGGAGGAAGGUGGGGAUGACGUCAAAUCAUCAUGCCCCUUAUGACCUGGGCUACACACGUGCUACAAUGGGAAGUACAACGAGUCGCGAAGUCGCGAGGCUAAGCUAAUCUCUUAAAGCUUCUCUCAGUUCGGAUUGUAGGCUGCAACUCGCCUACAUGAAGCCGGAAUCGCUAGUAAUCGCGGAUCAGCACGCCGCGGUGAAUACGUUCCCGGGCCUUGUACACACCGCCCGUCACACCACGAGAGUUUUAACACCCGAAGUCGGUGAGGUAACCUU
rnacentral:rRNA from 1 species